UACGUAGGGUGCAAGCGUUAAUCGGAAUUACUGGGCGUAAAGCGUGCGCAGGCGGUGAUGUAAGACAGUUGUGAAAUCCCCGGGCUUAACCUGGGAAUGGCAUUGGUGACUGCACGGCUAGAGUGUGUCAGAGGGGGGUAGAAUUCCACGUGUAGCAGUGAAAUGCGUAGAGAUGUGGAGGAAUACCGAUGGCGAAGGCAGCCCCCUGGGAUAACACUGACGCUCAUGCACGAAAGCGUGGGGAGCAAACAGG
rnacentral:rRNA from 1 species